GCCGUAACAGCUCCUGUCCUUGUCCCCUUGAGGGAUUUGCUUAGGACACCUGAGAUGGAUUUCCCAGCCUCAUUCUCCCUCUCCUGGACUAACACCGUGGGGUCCCUGGGUCACCUGCCUCGCUGCCCUCCUGGGCCCCGGGACUCAGAUGAGCACUUACCCUUCCACCCCAGUGCCCUCUACUGACUAGGACACGGUCCUGGCUUGGCCUUGGAGGCAGAAGACGAGGGAUGCAGUGACACCCCAUUGGCAAGCUGUCCCCCUAUGACCGCAGGGCCUGCCCCCUCUCUUCUCCUGGCUGCUUGAGGAUCGAGUGGGUGCUGGGGCUCCCACGCAUGUCUUGAGCACCUGAGAUGUGCACACAUCUGAUGCGCUCCGAUCAGGAGGUGCUCUGGAAGAGCUUUGCUGUCUCCCACGUUCCUUCCAGCAGCCUCCUAGGUAGACAUCGUGUCCACGGUGCAGGUUGGGGAGCUGACUUUCACAGCGCCCCUCUGCUUCUCCCGAGAUCCCAGGAGUCGAUAAAAACUGGGAUCAGGAACGAAGCCUGGCUCUGUCCUUGGAGCCUGAGCCCCAGCGUGCCUGGUCCCUGCAGGGCAGAAGGGGGUGGAUGUUGCCAUGGAAACGACUGGGGGAAUCACAGCACAAGGGCGCAGGAAGGUGAGCCGGGUGGCAGCCCUGCCUGCCGGCCCUCACUUGUGUGUGAGCUGGAAACCACCCAGGCACACCUAGGCAGGUGCUGCCCCUCCCCCAGGUGGAGGAAGCAGGAAAAGGUGGCAGCCAGAGGCAGCGGGCGAGGCUGCUGGGCAGUGGUGACCAGGGCCUCGGCGAGGAUGGGCUUGAUCUGCACCCUGGCUCUGCCUCUUCUUCUCCUCUGCUGGGAGGCUGGAGACUCCCGGGGAUUUACAGGUUCCAGCCGCAGCGGACCAUGCCCGAUCACAACGACAAACACCGUCAACGUGCUAACCGCCGUGCCAGGGAUCAGCACGAGCUCGCAGGGAGCCUUCCCCACCCCUGGUCUUGCUAAGACCACAGAGCCAGGCCACUUUUCUGUGGCAGCCGCCACCCUGGGCACUGAGACCUUUUCCAAGACCUUAACACCAGCUGCCACUGCUUCUGAAACAGGGACCAAGGAGACUCUGACCAUUUCUCCGGCUUCAGAGACCCAGGGCGCCCAGAUCGCUUUCCCUGUCACAGGGACCAUGAACACCAAGACCGCCUUCUCUACCACAGAGUCCAGGGACACCCAGACCAUGUCUCCAGCGUCAGAGAAGACCAUUCCCCUUGCCACAGGGUUCAGGGACGCUCAGACUACUGUCCAUGCCGCAGAGACGAGGGAUACCCAGACCAUUUCCCCUACAUCAGACACCAAGACACUCAGAAAGAUAAUCCCUUCUGACCUCAUGGCUGCAAUCACCAUCCCUGUGAGGGCUUUGUCCACAAGUGGCAGCUUCACAAGGACUGGACAGGCUACAGAUGAGAUUCCUCCAGGCAACGAUCCCAUGAAAGCCACCUCUGACAGUCUUUGUACCGACGACAGCUCUGAGGAGACAAAAUGCAUCACAAACAAUGCCUUGCCAUUGGUGCGCACUUCGGUGGAAGCUGAGAGCCCGUCCUCAGACAGCAGCUCUUCCUCAGUCAGCUCUGCAGCCGUCAUCACCGCCUCCCAAGACCUGGGUCCUGAUGUUGCCACCUCCAGCAAAGCCUCGGUCCCCCGCAGCACCCCCCACAUCAAGUUCCUCGGAGAGACAGAAACCGCAGCCGCCAUCUCUGGGACUUCAGACGCAGGUCGCAGCCCCACAGGAGUGAGCGCCUUGUCCAUCUCUGAGACGUCAGCUUUGUCUGCCUCUACUGAGGCAAAGUCACCCAUCCUGAGCCACACAUUUCCCGCUGAGACCCUGUCCACCGUUAGCACCUCAGAGUCAGCUGCCCCCAACACCACCCCCGAUGCCCCACGCCCGAGCAGCAGCACAGGAACAAAAGCAGUAUCCUCCCCCACCUCUGGCCCGAGGAGAGCUCAGGUGACAGUUAGCAUGGGCCGCUUGGGAGAAACCUCAGCCCUCUCUCAACAGAGCUAUACUGUGGUCUCAGGAGCAGUUAUAGUCUCUGCCAAGGCUGCAUCAACAGUGUGCGAAGGGACUUCCUCUGCUGGAUCCUCAGCUUCAGUCUCUGUCUCUUCAGAAAGAGCCAUCAUCAAGAAUUCCACCCCUUCAGGGCCUUUUACUGCAGACAGCACAAGCGUCAGGGACUCCCCCACCGGAAGAGGCCGUGUUCCUUCUGUCCACCCGGCUACAGCCAGCAGCAGCCAAGAGCCAGUUGUCACUUCAGCCAUGACCACAACCGCACCAAAGCCCGCUUCAGAGGUUUUUACCACAGAUGGCACAACCAGUAGGGCCUUCUCCACCAGCGGGACAUCUCUUUCUUCUGUCCCUUCAACUACAGCCAAUAGCAGCCAAGAGACAAACAUCACCUCAGCCACGGUCUCACCAAAGACCCUAAGAGCUACAUCCUCUGCUACUUCAACAAGCCAGACUCCGGAAGUUAUUGCAGGUGCAGAUGGAGACUUCCUCCUCCUGAGGCUGAAGGUGGCCUCGCUGGAAGACCUCACAGAGCCUACAAGGGCGGAGAGGCUGGUGCAGCAGCUCCAGUGUGAGCUGCAAAACCGCUUGCCCCUUGCCCACCUUUCCUUACUGCGCAUCCAGAGGAGCUAAAGGAUAUCAGCUGCAGCCAGGCAUGUUCCCUGUGCCAAGGAAGAACAGCCCUGCUGGUGGCCUGAGCCCGCUGACAGACUGGAGCCGCGUGACUGUGCUGACGGGGACUCAGAAGGCUCCUGUGAAGGUCAGGUGGCCCAAGCCCUUAUCCAGAAGGACUGCAGGGUCCGGGCUCACUUUUGUGUGGGGGUGGGCUUCCCCUGUAUGCAGUGGUGUCCUUCACUUCCCUGGUAUUGUGGUCAAUAAAGAGAGACCUGAUCCAUCCCUGCACUUCUAUGUGGUCUGCGUACUGUGGGCGUUUAGGUUGCAUAGCUGUCUGAGUCCCUUUCUCAUCGCUGGGACACAAUACUCAACCCACACAACCUAAAGGAGAAGCGGUUAUCCUGGCUCACAGUUUCCGUGCAUGGUCAGAACUGUAACAGGAAGUGUUACCUAGGCAACUGACAGAAACUGAAGUAUACUGGCUGGGGGGGGAGUGCAUUUUGAGCUACAGUGCCCCCAAGACCCAGCCACCUCCCCAAAAGCCUCCCUCUCAGCUAAUGAGAGCUUGGGGUGUCAUUUCUGGAUGUAAACCCAAUACAAGUAGGUUCCCUCUGCCUUUCAUGUUCCCCACUUCUUGGUUUACACCUGGAUCAUGGCACUGACGGAGGCCACUCCUGCAGUUUGUUGAACCUUGAGCUCUCUGUUAGUCCCCUUGUUAGAGAUAAUGAAUUUAUUAAGAGAAAAGAUUUAUUUUGAUUCACAGUUUUGGAGUUUUCAGUCAAG
ensembl:lincRNA mucin 20, cell surface associated